UUUGGGUCCUCUUAGUUAUUUCUUAGGCAUUGAGGUCAAGCAAUCCACUAAGGGAUUUCAUCUUUCUCAGUCUAAUAAGUACAUACAAGAUCUUAUUGCUCGUUCAGGCAUCACUGAUGACCAAACUGCUGCUACUCCUAUGGAUCUUCACUUGCAGCUUCGUCUCACUGAUGGGGUACCUCUUCAGGAUCCCUCUCGAUAUCGACAUAUUGUAGGCAGUCUUGUUUAUCUUACUGUCACCAGGCCAGAUAUUGCUCAUGCUGUCCAUAUUUUGAGUCAGUUCGUUUGUGCUCCAACUUCUGUUCAUUUUGGACAUCUACUUCGUGUGCUACGAUAUUUACGGGGCACAUCAUCUCAGAGUUUAUUCUAUGCACAUGACAGUCCACUUCAGCUUCAUGCUUACUCAGAUUCCACAUGGGCGAGUGACGCAAAUGAUCGACGCUCCAUCACAGGAUACUGUAUUUUUCUUGGUUCUUCUCCUAUUGGAUGGAAGUCCAAGAAACAAGCAGCUGUAUCUCGUUCUAGUACAGAGGGUGAACUUCGAGCCCUUGCUACCACUACUGCAGAGAUAGUAUGGCUGCGUUGGUUGUUGGUAGAUUUUGGUGUUUCUUGUAAUGUUGCCAUACCUCUUCUCUGUGAUAAUACAGAGGCCAUACAGAUUGCCAAUGAUCCUGUGAAGCAUGAACUUACAAAGCAUAUUGGUGUGGAUGCUUUCUUUACUCGGUCUCAUUGUCAACAGAAAACUAUUGCUCUCCAGUAUGUGCCUUCAAAAUUGCAAUUGGCUAACUUUUUCACUAAAGCACAAACUCGAGAGCAACAUCGACUUCACUUGAUCAAACUCAAUGUUUCCAUUCCUCCGCUUCCACCUUGAGUUUGAAGGGGGGUGUUAAGUAUAUGAUGAAGAUCUAGUCAAUAGGCCCAUCUAUAGGCCCUGUCUAUAUAUAGCCCUGAGGCUCUCUAUAUAUGUACGAUACGACUCCCUCCCUGGAGUCAUUGCACUUUGUGAUCCCGAAGGUACGUAACACUGUACAGGCAUAAUGCAAGCCGUUGCCUAUAUUUGCCUCGCCAUUAUCCCAUUAUACAAGCUUGGGAAGUGAAAACAGACCCCAAUUCCAGGCUCCGCUAGUACGUAGAGAUGGAAACUGCUAAAUGCAGGUGAGCUUGUAGACACGCAACCUCUUGGCGCGUGUUUGGUAUGUCGGCCCAUAGAGCUGCAACGCUCGUGUUUGGUAUGCAUGGGCCGUCUCUCAACUUGGAUCCCGUGGUGCUUUUCCUCCCUCUUGCCUGUCUUUAUAGAAAUGACUCCCCUCUUUGUUUUGUAGGGCUUGGCCACGUGCUGCUCCUCGCAGGCGAUUUGGAGGCGGUGGCAGGUGGUUCACAUGGGAAUAGUGAAACCUCUGCGCGUGUUCCCACCUCCGGUGAAAUCCAUCGCCUUUAUAAGCGGCUCCUUCGGCGCUCAUCUCCCUUCUUGCCUUCUUCUCCACCAACUCCUGUGAGAGACCAGCAGUGGUGCUAUGAUGUUGUGUUUGACGAGGCUGCUCUUCUUCCCUGGUGGCUUGCUCUCCGUUUCCCCGCAUUGGAUCUGCUCUAAUGCGGCGCCUCACCGUUCGCUUGGUUGGGACUCCAGGAGGUGUCGUCUUCUUCGUUCGUCUUCCUCGAGUCGAGUGGGCUACACUGCAGAGCUGCAGCGCUUGAUGUACACCAUUCCAGUGUGCCUUGUCGUCUCCCCGAACCCACAGCAGCACCUCACUGGUCGUGGUCUCCACCGUUUCUAUACAGCACAUGAUGAUCACUGAAGUGGAAUGGGCAUUGCUAUGUUGACCACCAGCCGCAUUGUUACUUGUCAUCGUCACUUGCUAACAUCACCUUCAUCUCCAACAUCUGCUAUCCCCGAUGUGGGGACCCCCAUCAUGAUCUCCAUAUUGUAUACAUGUCACCUGUUAUAAAUCAUGAACCAUCUUUCAAGAAGGAAUUGAGUACCGACAAAGUUUGCAA